GUCGGUUUUGGAGCCGGCAUCUUCUACGGCGAGGAGUCUGCAAGUUUGGAGCUCUGGGGUUAGAGGAGGUGAAGGGAUGAACCACGUCGGAGAUGCUGAUGGCCGUGUUCGUUCAUCCACGAUUUCUUGCCGUCUUUCAAUGUUUGAAGUCAGAUCUGCGCUGUGGGGGAAAGAGGAAGUAGGUUUGGAACUCAGAUUCGUGCAUCAGCAACCGGACGGCCGUCGCCGCCUCGAUUGGAGGAGGAAAACGAACAGUAUCGUCAGCAAGGACCUAGUUGUAAUUUCUAUUUCUUUUAGGGCCUUUCCUGCAAGAAAGGGUUGUGCUGUGCUGCCACUUUUCUUAAUAUAGUUACUCCCUUUUCUCGCAAAAAAAAAGGUAGUGUGUUGUGUCCAUACAUAUUGUCACGUUAAGAGGCUAAAGUUGUAUACCCUCACUGUAAGAAUAGCUUUCCCUAUUUUGUCAAGUUUUAGGCCGGGA